UACGUAGGGUGCGAGCGUUGUCCGGAAUUAUUGGGCGUAAAGCGUGCGUAGACGGCUAUCUAAGUCGGGUGUGAAAGCCCCGGGCUCAACCUGGGAAUGGCAAUGGAUACUGGCAAGCUAGAGUGCGGUAGAGGGUAGUGGAAUUCCCGGUGUAGCGGUGAAAUGCGUAGAGAUCGGGAGGAACACCAGUGGCGAAGGCAGCCCCCUGGGCUGAGAUUGACGCUCAGGCACGAAAGCGUGGGGAGCAAACAGG
rnacentral:rRNA from 1 species